UACGAAGGGGGCUAGCGUUGCUCGGAAUCACUGGGCGUAAAGGGUGCGUAGGCGGGUCUUUAAGUCAGGGGUGAAAUCCUGGAGCUCAACUCCAGAACUGCCUUUGAUACUGAGGAUCUUGAGUCCGGGAGAGGUGAGUGGAAUUGCGAGUGUAGAGGUGAAAUUCGUAGAUAUUCGCAAGAACACCAGUGGCGAAGGCGGCUCACUGGCCCGGAACUGACGCUGAGAUGCGAAAGCGUGGGGAGCAAACAGG
rnacentral:rRNA from 1 species